rnacentral:rRNA from 1 species
UACGGGGGGGUGCGAGCGUUGUCCGGAAUCACUGGGCGUAAAGGGCGCGUAGGUGGUUUGAUAAGGGUGUGGUGAAAGUCCGGAGCUCAACUCCGGAUCUGCCGUGCCGACUGUCAAACUCGAGGGCUGUAGAGGCAGACGGAAUUCCGGGUGUAGCGGUGGAAUGCGUAGAGAUCCGGAGGAAGACCGGUGGCGAAGGCGGUCUGCUGGGCAGUUUCUGACACUGAUGCGCGACAGCGUGGGGAGCAAACAGG